AAAUAGUUAAAUCUUGAUUAAACCUAAGAUGGUAUAGAUAAAUUUUCUGUUAAACGAUGUCGUUUGAAGUUUAAUAUAUUUAGCAGAUAUAGCAUGCUCAAACAGCUCCUCUUCAUGCCGCUUCCAAUGCUUUCUUCUUCAUUUGCCGUCGUCGCGACUACCAAAAAGGUACCCAUCCCUCUUUUGAUCGUCAUUUUGCAUACCCUUUCCUUCAAUCUGAUUCUUUCUCUUAGUGUUUUUUUUUUUUUUAAAUAAUAAUUUCAUAUACCCUUUUGAUUCUUUUGGAUUGUUUUUGUGGAUUCAUUUACUUUGUUAAUUUUCAUUUGGGUUGGUUAUUAUUGGAUGAUUUAGAAAUGCUAAUGUACUAUGGCAAUAAUCAGAUGCUGUUCAUUGUGCCAUUAGCCUGCUGCUGAUUAAGUUUUCAGGAGUUCAUGCUGAGAUUCAUCCGUCUGGUCAUGUUUAUAUUUAUUUUGAAAACAGUUAGACAAAUUGAUAAUUACAAUAAAAUGAAUACACACAUGUUGCACAACAAUGGAGGAGUGUAGUUUGAAGACUAUCAGACAAAUUGAUAGUCACACCAAACGAAUACACACAUCGCAUAAUAUCAUUGUAUGGUUGCUCCAUUGUGGUUAUGGUGGUUUUAAUCGCAGAAAGCUAUUUGCCACAAGCACCACGACUAUUGAUGGCAUUUCGUUUUGUAUUGAUAAUAAGUCAACAGAUUUUUGCAUUAAUCUUCUGUUUCUACUUUUUUUUUUUUUAAAUGUAUAACACACGCACACUAGUGAGACUCGAAUCCAUGACCUGAGUUUUAAGAAGACUGUUCCUUAACAUUCAGAUAUCAUUUUGUACCUAGAAUUUGGUCCAUUAUUUUCUCUGUUUAGAGUCUCUCAGGUCUUGUCUGUAAGAUGGUGCAUGGUAGUACUGUUUGCAUGUUGAAGAAACCUCAAUAGGUAGGUUGGAUGAAUAAUUGUAUUGCCCAGUUAAAGCAACUCUUUUUUUGAGUUAGACUGUUGAUAACACAUUUGAAAGCUGGAGUUUUCUACUUGUUUCCUAAGUUUUCAGUCUACUUUCUGAGGUUUAUUAUUAUUUCACAUCCUCUAUUAGGUCUUUUUUUGCAUUAUAAAGCUGUAUUAGAGUCCUUGCAAUCAAUGUACCUUACAUUGAUUGUAAGGUAGCAAAAUCCUUACUACUUUUGGACUCCCCUUGAUAUUGCAGAGUUUGUGUGUCAGUGUCCCCCCUCCCCUUUUUGGGUUGGUUGUUGAAGAGUCUGAACAAAAUCAGUGUUUUGUUCUGUUAGGAUCCCCUCCGGAUGCUAUAUCCGAGACCCAGUCCUUGGUCCAGCCAAUGUAGUUAAUUUCCCAGUUGGGCUAUGAAAACCACUGCACAUAUGAUGCGUUGCUCCAAGAUAGGGAGUGUGAGACUGGUAGAAAUACUAAAAGUGUGCCCCAGCCCUACAAUUGUCAUAGUUUUAGACAUUUUGAAGAAAUGAAUACUGCGGUUUUAAUUAUUUAAUAGUGAUAUGGAAACAAACUACUGUACUGAACCAUGUAGUCGACAAUCUUUCUACAUCGAUACACAUUACUGUAACUGAAUUUUAAGAAGUCUUUGGAGAGCUCAAGGGAGUGCAUCCUAUAUAUUCUAUAGCAUCUAGGGAUGUCUGCAGAUUGUUGACUUGAUCUUGUCAUAGUGUCUUAUAGUCAAUAAGAUGUGCUAGUAAUUAAAUAAAUUGUUCAUUUUUAACACCAUUGUUUCGGUUAAAGAAAUUAUUGAAAUGAGUUAGGAGUUUUGGUAAAAUUGACAUGCUGUAGAGCAAGCGUGAAAUAAUCAGUGCCCCAUCAAGAGCAAUAUUGUUGGGUUGAUUACAAAUUGAGAAUAAAUGACGGCGGUCUUCUUGUUUUAAUGGAAAAAUGGAAACAAAACUAGGAUGAGGGAGAAAAACCUACAAAUAGUCCAUGAGGAGAAGGGGAGAGAGAGAGAGAGAGAUGCACUGCAAAUUUUCCAUAUGGAGAUGUAUUUUCAGGUUAUUUACCCCUUAUUUGUGAUUGUUGUUGUUGAAGAAAAACUUAUUGGCAAACAUUAAUUGCAGAAACUUCCAGACAAUUUGAAAUAUUGAUUGGUAAACUAAUUAAUGAAUGUCAUUGCUUGCAAUUUCCCUGUCCCUUAAAAUGAAUAAAAACGUUUCCUUGCAAGUGGAUUCUGAGACUAUCUGUUCAUAUAUGCUUUUCAUCACACUGAGUGUUGGACAGAGCUCAGUCGGUUGAUGUUUAAUUUCAUGCUUUUGAUUCAUGACCUGCCUUAUGCUGCCAAGUUUUACGACUGCUGUGGGGCCGAGGAUCCUGAUGCCUCUGGUUGCACCACCAGCUUCCAUGUCUCUUAUGAUGAUGAUUGAUGUAAUAUUCUCUUCCUAAUCACCUAUAUCUCGAACGUUCAUUAAAUUUGUAGAUAUCCCCAUGUCUCCUCUCUCGACACACAUCAUUCCCUGCUGUUCUCCUGUUAUAUAAUUCCAGUCUUCAUCUCUUAAACUUUCAACUCUCAUCUUUUGUUUUUUUCCCCCUGGAUUGAUCUGACAUGAAUUUCAAAUGAUGAUCUGAGAGGUAUGAACCCUUAGUCGCAUAUUACAUUCAUGCUACCAAGUCGUUUUUGGAGCCAAAAAUAGGUCAUGUGCCUGCAAUUGGCCAAAUCCAUAACUGUUUGCAUGAGUUUGAUGUGCGAAAAUGUGAAAGGUAGAAUGCAGCUGGCAAAGGAAAAAUCAAAGGGCAUGCUUCCCACAUCAAGAUGGUGGUAGUGGUACAUCUUUGUGUUUCCUUGACCUUAUCCAAUAUAUUCAUCAUUUUUGGUUACUCUGCAAUUUUCCGCUGUACAUUUUGAUCCCACACCAUGUGCUUGACAGUUGUUUCGAUUUUAUCUCUUUUUUUUUUUUUCCUUUCUAUCUUUCAGAUCAGCAUUUUUGUCUUGAUUCUUGAAUAGUUGAAUAUGUAUGUGUGGGUGGGUAUAUAAUAUAUAGUACUUAGAUUUUGUUUAAUUUUCUAUUGCUAACUUGAUUAUUUGUGGCAUUAAUUUAAUAUGAUUUACAUCUUUUUGGUUGUAGUGUUGAUGAGUUGCCUUUAUAUGAUGAC
rnacentral:lncRNA from 1 species